GUCGGCUCCUAAGGCGAGGCCGAAAGGCGUAGUCGAUGGGAAUGCAGUUAAUAUUCUGCAGCCUGGUGGUAGUGACGGAUCUCGUAAAUUGUACAUCCUUAUUGGAUUGGUUGUGCAGUGAAGAGGUUCCAGGAAAUAGCUCCACCGUAUAGACCGUACCCCAAACCGACACAGGUGGUCAGGUAGAGAAUACUAAGGCGCUUGAGAGAACUAUGUUGAAGGAACUCGGCAAAUUGCACGCGUAACUUCGGAAGAAGCGUGACCUGUAUUUACGCAAGUAGAUAUAGGUGGCACAGACCAGGGGGUAGCGACUGUUUAUCAAAAACACAGGGCUCUGCGAAGUCGCAAGACGACGUAUAGGGUCUGACGCCUGCCCGGUGCCGGAAGGUUAAGAGGAGAGGUGAGAGCUUUGAAUCGAAGCCCCGGUAAACGGCGGCCG
rnacentral:rRNA from 1 species